GGGGGGACUUAGGACCUCUCGCUACAGGGGCGGCCGAUGGCAGAUUAGCUAGUUGGUGGGGUAAAGGCCUACCAAGGCGACGAUCUGUAGCUGGUCUGAGAGGACGACCAGCCACACUGGGACUGAGACACGGCCCAGACUCCUACGGGAGGCAGCAGUGGGGAAUUUUGGACAAUGGGGGCAACCCUGAUCCAGCAAUGCCGCGUGUGUGAAGAAGGCCUUCGGGUUGUAAAGCACUUUUGUCCGGAAAGAAAACGCUCUGGUUAAUACCCGGGGCGGAUGACGGUACCGGAAGAAUAAGCACCGGCUAACUACGUGCCAGCAGCCGCGGUAAUACGUAGGGUGCAAGCGUUAAUCGGAAUUACUGGGCGUAAAGCGUGCGCAGGCGGUCCGCUAAGACAGAUGUGAAAUCCCCGGGCUUAACCUGGGAACUGCAUUUGUGACU
rnacentral:rRNA from 1 species